rnacentral:rRNA from 1 species
CGCUGGCGGUGUGCUUAACACAAGCAAGUGGUGCGACGAACCAGAGCUUGCUCUGGGGCAAAGCCGCGAACGGGUGAGUAACACGUGGGUAAUCUACCCCGAUGACCGGGACAACCCGAGGAAACUCGGGCUAAUACCGGAUGUGGUACGGAGACAUAAGUCUCUUUACUAAAGGUAGCUUCGGCUUCCGCAUUGGGAGGGGCCCGCGGCCCAUUAGCUAGUUGGUGGGGUCAAGGCCUACCAAGGCAACGAUGGGUAGCUGGUCUGAGAGGACGAUCAGCCACACUGGGACUGAGACACGGCCCAGACUCCUACGGGAGGCAGCAGUGGGGAAUCUUGCGCAAUGCGCGAAAGCGUGACGCAGCAACACCGCGUGAGGGAAGACGGCCUUAGGGUUGUAAACCUCUUUCAGAUGGGACGAAGGUGAUGCGGUGAAUAGCCGAUGUCAUUGACGGUACCGUCAGAAGAAGCUCCGGCUAACUACGUG